rnacentral:misc_RNA from 1 species
ACACCUCAACUCCUCAUGGUUUGCCAUGAUGGGCUUGGACUUUGGGGGUUUGCUGGCCGCUAUGGUCGGCUCCUCUCAAAUGAAUCAGCUUGCCAGUGUUUGGUGGCGUCACAGGUGUGAUAACUAUCUACGCUUGUGGUCUCCCCACCAGGUAACCUUCAGCGAUGGGGGUUCACUGUGGCUCAUAAACGUCUCUCCUCUGUGAGAGACAGCUUUUUGAAC